rnacentral:rRNA from 1 species
CCUACGGGUGGCUGCAGUGGGGAAUAUUGCACAAUGGGGGAAACCCUGAUGCAGCGACGCCGCGUGAGUGAAGACGGAUCUCGGUAUGUUAAGCUCUAUCAGCAGGGAAGAAAAUGACGGUACCUGUGUAAGAAGCCGCGGCUAACUACGUGCCAGCAGGCGCAGCAAUAUGGAGGGGGCCAGCGUUAUCCGGAUUUACCGGGCGUAAACGGGGCGUAGAGGGCAGCACAGGUCUGGAGUGAAAUGCCGGGGCUUAACCCCGGAACUGCGUUUGAAACUGUGCAGCUAGAGUGCAGGAGAGGUAAGUGGAAUGCCUGGUGUAGCGGUGAAAUGCGUAGAUAUUAGGAAGAACACCGAUGGCGAAGGCAGCUUACUGGACUAUAACUGACGUUGAGGCUCGAAAGCGUGGGGAGCAAACAGGAUUAGAUACCCCAGUAGUC